rnacentral:rRNA from 1 species
UUUAAAUAGCUGCAGUAAUUUAACUGUACAAAGGUAGCGUAAUAAUUAGUCUUUUAAUUGAGGUCUAGAAUGAAAGGUUUGACAAGAAAAAAUCUUUAUUAAUUUAAUUUAAUGAAUUUUAUUUUUUAGUUAAAAAGCUAAAAUUUUUAAAUGGGACGAUAAGACCCUAUAGAUCUUUAAAUCUUUGUUUUAUAAAAUUAUUUAGGUGGAAUUUAAGUUUUAUUGACAGAAAUUUUUUGUUGGGGUGACAAAUAAAAUUUUAAAACUUUAAAAUUUAAUUACAUAAAUUAGUGAAUUUUUGAACCUAAAUUUGGGGUUGUUAGAAUAAGAUACCUUAGGGAUAACAGCGUAAUAAAUUUGUAUAGUUCAUAUAGAUAAAUUUGAUUACGACCUCGAUGUUGAAUUAAUCUAAAGUUUUGGAGCAGAAUAUAGAAUUUUAGGUCUGUUCGACCUUUAAAAGAUUACA